rnacentral:lncRNA from 1 species
GCCAGCUACUGCUUCUUUGACCAGAACGACCGCCCACGCUUGUUCAAUUCAAUACCACCCCACACGACGAGCAAAUGAUCCUCAGAAGCGUUUCAUUAAUGUUAACUUCGAAAAAUAAAAAUAAAACAAAACACACACACAUGUGAGGAAUUCUGGAGGAAAGAUGAGAAGAAACGGUGGAGCUUGAGUUAAUUCUGCUUAGGGUGUUCGACUGUUUGGUUCCAUUUCAGACGUGGGGAAGGUCUGGUGUUUGACGAUGGUUUUCAAGUGUGGGCUGCGAAGAAGAUGGUCUUGGGCGUCGGAGGGACUGGACGUGACUGGAGCUGACUGGACGUUGGCUUGGUCAGUUGGUUCGCUGGAGAUGGUCGGACCUGUUUGCUCCGGCGAGCUGGGAGGCGGGGUGGACGACGACAAAAGUAGCCGGUCGUUCGGUCAGUAUGGUCGAAAAAGAUGAAGCUAAAGCUUGGAGAUGGUCGGACCUGUUUGCUCCGGUGAGCUGGGAGGCGGGGUGGACGACGACAAAAGUAGCCGGUCGUUCGGUCAGUAUGGUCGAAAAAGAUGAAGCUAAAGCUUUCUUUGUUUGUUUCUCUACAUUGUGGAGAAGAUGACUAGUUUUUGAAGAUGCAGUCCGUUUGGUCAUUGUCCAGUUUGGAGAAGACGACCUCCAAAUCUCCAAU